rnacentral:tRNA from 2 species
UGGGGUGUGGCUCAGUGGUAGAGCGCUUGCCUAGCAUGUAUGAGGCACUGGGUUCAAUCCUCAGCACCACAU